rnacentral:rRNA from 1 species
UCUUAUACACAUGCGUGAGCGCACCAAACACCUAAAAUUGUAAUACUACCAGUCACUAAGUUUUAACAAAACAAAACUUUCAACAACGGAUCUCUUGGUUCUCGCAUCGAUGAAGAGCGCAGCGAAAUGCGAUACCUAGUGUGAAUUGCAGCCAUCGUGAAUCAUCGAGUUCUUGAACGCACAUUGCGCCCCAUGGUAUUCCAUGGGGGAUGCCUGUCUGAGCGUCGUUUCCUUCUUGCGCAAGCAGAGUUGAGAACAGGGUAUGCCUUUUUCGAAAUGGAACGUCGUGGACGAAGUGAACUAAACUUUUUAGCACGCUUUGGGCGCCGAACUUUUAACUAAGCUCGACCUCAGAUCAGGUAGGAAUACCCGCUGAACUUAAGCAUAUCAAUAAGCGGAGGAAAGGAUCAUUACUGUGAUUUAUAUCUUAUACACCUGCGUGAGCGCACCAAACACCUAAAAUUGUAAUACUACCAGUCACUAAGUUUUAACAAAACAAAACUUUCAACAACGGAUCUCUUGGUUCUCGCAUCGAUGAAGAGCGCAGCGAAAUGCGAUACCUAGGGUGAAUUGCAGCCAUCGGGAAUCAUCGAGUUCUUGAACGCACAUUGCGCCCCAUGGUAUUCAUGGGGGAUGCCUGUCUGAGCGUCGUUUCUUCUUGCGCAAGCAGAGUUGAGAACAAGCUAUGCUUUUUCGAAAUGGAACGUCCUGGACGAAGUGAACUAAACCUUUUAGCCGCUUUGGGGCCGAACUUUUUACUAGCUUGACUCCAUCACGUAGAAUACCCCUGAACUUAAACAUAUCAUAGCGGAGGAA